rnacentral:lncRNA from 1 species
AUCGAUUUUCCUGUUUUGUCGUUCAUUUCUGUACUGACAGUAGAAAUAUCCCCUUUUCCGUAUCGGUUUUCGCACUGAACUUUCAAUUCAUUUCCCUUAAGGGAGAGGAAGAGGGUCAGCAAGAUGCUUUGACUGUUGCCAUUCACGUCUUUCGCAAACUUAAUUGCCGUCGGAUUUUGUGGCUCAAUUUUCACACUUGCACUCCCCUUCCCACUUUCUGGGUGGUUUUUCUUCCCCUUGUCAUUCACUUAAUUUGAUUUUCAGCUUUGCUUUGGUUCGCUCUUUCUCUUUUAUUUUUUCGGUGUGGCGCUGUGAUUGAUUAUUGUCAUUGAUGGAAGACCUUUGAAGAACAGUCAGAGAGAGGGACAGGGAGACAGGGGCCUUUUUCCAAUGGCAUUUGUCUCCUUUGCUCUCUUUUGCUGAUUAUGCCAUCGCACGGUGGGCCCCAUUCCCCCGUUCUAUAGGAAAAACUAAUGCCCUGAAGCAAAAGUUUUGCUGGUGGGGCGACAGGAAAUGUGCGAGAUGUUAUCGGGCUUUGGGCCUGGAAGGUCCCCGCGGGGAUUAUUGAUUACAGGCUCAAAAACGAUUUGUGUUUAUUUCUCUCAGAGAAAAGCAGUUCCGGGAAGUACAUAAUCGCUUAAUUUAUUCAUAGGAAAGCGAAACGAAACGAAACCCUCGUGAGGAUUUCCAGCCAGCAAUCAGCAAAUUAAUUUAAAGAGUGUUUUAUUUUUUUGGGGAACAAAAAAAAUAAACGACAUCCGUUUCCCAUUGAACGAACGAAACGAAACAAAACGACCCGACCGACCGCAGACUGACUGACUCAUCCCACUGUGGCCUGCCCUAGAUCUCCGAAACGAGUCCAAGUCCAUUCCAUUCCAAGCAGAGAGAUAGCGAGAGAGACUAAAGCAGGAACUGACUGGCACCGUCCGCCUCUGUCGCAUUCGCACUCGCAACCACAGUCGAACUCUCUUAAGCGUAGAAAGCAACGCCAGAUUUCCUGAAUGGUGGUGCCAUCCCACUCGCAUGCCGAUUGCCAUCUCUAUUCAUUUAUUCAAUUCAUAUUAAAUUGCCCCAUAGAUUAGAAGAAAUUCCACCGAACGUAAUUAAAAUAUACUACAGAUCGUCUGCCGUGCUGUCGCAUGCUCAUGCUAUAAAGAGGGUAUCGCGAAGCAUUUCCGAAUGCUACGUAAUCAACAGCUGAAACUGUAUAGUUCAGGGAAAUUUAAUCUACAUAAAAUCAGAGAGUAAUUUCAGUUCCCAUGGUAACAAUAGUAAAAACUCUUUCUUAUGGGGAUCUCCUAGGGGAAAACUUGGAUCCCAGUUUGGAUUAAUAUUUGUAUCCCAGGGGAAUCAAAUCUGUCCAAGGGUAUUUUCAGCUUCGUUACCCAAAAGGUAGCCUCCAUCUCUUUCUUUCAUUUAUUUCCAUCAUCAUCUGUUGCUGCUGCUGCGUCUCUCCCUUCCUUUGCAAUCGUUUGCAUGCCAUUGAGCGAUUGAUUGAGUGAGUGCCCCCGUCCCCACACUCAACUGGCGAGGUCAUCGCCCAUUGUCGUCAUUCUCGCGACGCUCUCCCGUCGUUCCUCUUCCCGUGGCUGGACGGAUAGUCAGGUGGUGCUCGUCUGGAUUGUGUGG